rnacentral:sRNA from 1 species
GUUUUGAGAAGCAAGAAGAAGCUUGGUUAGUGUUUUGGAGUCAAAUAUAAAUUGAUGUCAUGUGUAUGAUUGAGUAUAAGAACUUAAACCGCAACCGGAUCUUAAAAGCCUAAGUAGUGUUUUCUUGUUAGUAGAUACAAAGACAAAGACUCAUACGGACUUCAGCUACACCAUCAAAGCUUUGAGAAAGAAGAAGCGGCUUGGUUAGUGUUUUGGAGUAGAAUAUGACUUUAUGUCAUGUGGAUGAUUGAGUAUAAGAACUUAAACUGCAACCGGAUCUUAAAAGCCUAAGUAUUGUAUCCUUGUUAGAAGAUACAAAGACAAAGACUCCUACGGACUUCCGCUACACCAUCUAACGUUUGAGAAUCAAGAAAAAGC